GUCAUAACAAAACAAACCCAAUUUUUCUCUACCAUUCCAGAACCUUCUUUUGUGUUGUCAAAAGAGGGGGAAAAGAACAACUUGCCGUGUGGUUUUUCCUUAUUUGAUUUCUUCGCGGUAUAGUUCUCCUAAUUUGUCGCCAUUAUUGAUUUCCAUAUCUAUAAAUACCUUGCGCUGUUGCCCUCUUUUCUUCACAAAUCAUAAACUAGCUUUAUUAUAUCGGUACAUAGUCCUCUGAAUCAAGCAAAUCCAUUUUGAAGAUGCAGAUCUUUGUAAAGACUCUUACUGGCAAGACUAUAACUCUCGAAGUUGAGAGUUCAGACAUGAUCGACAAUGUUAAAGCGAAAAUCCAGGACAAAGAAGGUAUUCCACCAGAUCAACAACGUUUGAUCUUUGCAGGAAAACAACUUGAGGAUGGACGGACUCUCGCUGAUUAUAACAUUCAAAAGGAGUCAACUCUCCACCUUGUUCUUCGUCUACGUGGUGGAAUGCAAAUAUUUGUUAAGACAUUGACUGGAAAAACAAUCACAUUGGAAGUUGAGAGCUCGGACACUAUUGAUAACGUUAAGGCGAAAAUUCAAGAUAAGGAAGGUAUUCCACCGGACCAACAAAGGCUGAUUUUUGCUGGGAAGCAAUUGGAAGAUGGGCGCACUCUGGCAGAUUAUAAUAUUCAAAAGGAGUCAACGCUCCACCUAGUCCUUCGCCUUCGUGGUGGAAUGCAAAUUUUUGUUAAGACCUUAACUGGAAAAACAAUCACGUUGGAAGUUGAGAGCUCGGACACGAUAGACAAUGUUAAGGCUAAAAUUCAAGACAAGGAGGGUAUCCCACCGGAUCAGCAGAGGCUGAUUUUUGCUGGGAAGCAAUUAGAAGAUGGACGAACUCUGGCUGAUUAUAACAUCCAGAAGGAAUCCACCCUUCACCUUGUUCUCAGGUUGAGGGGUGGCAUGCAGAUCUUUGUGAAGACUGACGGGGAAGACGAUCACGUUGGAGGUGGAGAGUUCCGAUACCAUUGAUAAUGUGAAGGCCAAGAUACAGUAUAAGGAGGGUAUCCCACCAGACCAGCAAAGAUUGAUUUUUGCAGGGAAACAAUUAGAAGAUGGAAGAACUCUAGCUGAUUAUAACAUUCAAAAGGAGUCGACACUCCACCUAGUCCUUCGCCUUCGUGGUGGAAUGCAAAUCUUUGUUAAAACCUUAACGGGAAAAACCAUCACAUUAGAAGUUGAGAGCUCAGACACGAUUGACAAUGUGAAGGCGAAGAUACGGGAUAAGGAAGGUAUUCCGCCCGACCAGCAGAGGCUCAUCUUUGCUGGAAAACAGUUGGAGGAUGGUAGGACACUGGCAGACUACAAUAUCCAGAAGGAGUCUACGCUCCAUCUUGUGCUGAGGUUGAGGGGUGGAUUUUAAGCUUUUUUUGCCAUCAGAUGUUUCUCUUUAGUGAUCGUUAAUGUUUGAGCUUUAUUACAUCUAAUGUUCAGUGACCUCUUAUCGAUGUCAAUGCUAUGAAGUGUGGAUGGACUACUGUUUUCUUAGUGAAAUUUGAUUUCGUUUCUAAUGAAGUUUGCUUCUUUA